GUAGUCCACGCCGUAAACGGUGGGCGCUAGGUGUGGGGGCCAUUCCACGGUCUCUGUGCCGCAGCUAACGCAUUAAGCGCCCCGCCUGGGGAGUACGGCCGCAAGGCUAAAACUCAAAGGAAUUGACGGGGGCCCGCACAAGCGGCGGAGCAUGUGGAUUAAUUCGAUGCAACGCGAAGAACCUUACCUGGGUUUGACAUGCACCAGACAUCCCUAGAGAUAGGGCUUCCCUUGUGGUUGGUGUGCAGGUGGUGCAUGGUUGUCGUCAGCUCGUGUCGUGAGAUGUUGGGUUAAGUCCCGCAACGAGCGCAACCCUUGUUCCAUGUUGCCAGCGGGUAAUGCCGGGGACUCAUGGGAGACUGCCGGGGUCAACUCGGAGGAAGGUGGGGAUGACGUCAAAUCAUCAUGCCCCUUAUGUCCAGGGCUUCACACAUGCUACAAUGGCCAGUACAGAGGGCUGCGAGACCGUGAGGUGGAGCGAAUCUCUUAAAGCUGGUCUCAGUUCGGAUUGGGGUCUGCAACUCGACCCCAUGAAGUUGGAGUCGCUAGUAAUCGCAGAUCAGCAACGCUGCGGUGAAUA
rnacentral:rRNA from 1 species